rnacentral:siRNA from 1 species
ACAUCCAUGUAUGUUGUGCAAUGU